AGUGAACGCUGGCGGUAUGCCUAACACAUGCAAGUCGAACGGCAGCACAGUAAGAGCUUUCCCUUACGGGUGGCGAGUGGCGGACGGGUGAGGCAUACAUCGGAAUCUACUUUUUCGUGGGUGAUAACGUAGGGAAACUUACGCUAAUACCUCAUACUACCUACGGGUGAAAUCAGGAGAGCUUCAGACCUUUCGCGUUUGAUUUAGCCGGUGUCGGAUUAGCUAGUUGGCGGGGUAACGGCCCACCAAGGCGACGAUCCGUAGCUGAUCUGAGAGGAUGAUCAGCCACACUGGAACUGAGACACGGUCCAGACUCCUACGGGAGGCAGCAGUGGGGAAUCUUCCACAAUGGGCGAAAGCCUGAUGGAGCAACACCGCGUGAGUGAAGAAGGCCUUCGGGUUGUAAAGCCCUUUUGUUGGGAAAGAAAAGCUGCGGGUUAAUCCGCCGAUGUUCUGACGGUACCCAAACAAUAAGCCACGGCUAACUUCGUG
rnacentral:rRNA from 1 species